CUGGCAGGCCCAAUCUGCAGGCACUGAGGCUUUAGUGGAAUGGCCGGCAUCUAGAGUGAGGUGCCUGUUUGUGGUCAGAUAGAGGCUUGGAGGAUGGCUUCUCCUUUGUCCAAGGUGAGGAAUCACAAAAUCCUACCCCUGAAGCAAAGGAAUUAACACUACAUGGAAGCAAAUUGGAAUUGAAGUCAAGGAAGGAAAGAAGACCUAUGUCUUGAAGGUUCUAUGUCAUGAAGGGUGAGCAAUUGGAGCAGGUGUGCAGGCUUUAGGUGGGAGACACCUACUUAUCCGCACCUGACAACCCUUCUUCACCCUGGCUCCACGAGACCUGAAGUUUGGAAAUCAGUGUCCAAGCCAGUCAUCCAGCUUGUCUCAGGAUGUCAGCGUUCAGAGAAAACAGCAGGCCCAUGGGGCACAAUGUCACAUCCAUGUCAGGAUGGGAGUUUCAUGGGUGAUGAAGUCAGAGGAGAGUCUUUGGGAAUUUCCCUGGAUAAAAGCAAUCUGGUGGUUUCAAGGGACUUGGCGUCAGGAACCCUGGGGUGAAUUUCUGUGGCUGCUUGCCUGACGCUUGGUGAGGAAAUCACAAAAUCCACGCAAUUAACACUGAAGCAAAGGAAUGAACACUGCAUGGAAACAAAUUGGAAUUGAAGUCAAGGAGGAAAGAAGAAGACCAUGUUCUACUUCAUGAGACUGAGGCUUCUGUCCCCUGGGGCCUGUACCCCAAGCCCUCCUGAUUGCGGAUGUUGGAGCCACACUCAAGGAGUCUGCCUGCCUCCCAGAUGAAAACUGCAGAGAUGCACAGACCCCUCAGACCAGGAGAAACCUGCAUAUUUCCCUGAGGCCAACCCCAAAUUCAGUAACCCCCACCAUAGCCUGACAAGUUGCAUGACCCCUGUUCUCAACUCAAACCCAUGGAGAUCCUGCCUCAAUGCCCGCAGAUCAGAACUGCCAUGCCCCUAGGCCUUAACCCUAAACCUAGGUUGUGUUUUCAGGCUUCUGUCCCUAGAGACCUGGCCCCCAAGCCUUCCAGAUUGGGGACUCCUGAGCCACACCCCAGGACUCCGCCUGCCACCUAGGAGGAAUCCGUGUCAUUUGGAGAUGCACAAAACCCUCAGAGCAGGAGAACCCUGCAUGUUCCUGUGAGUCCACUCCCAUCUUCAGUACCCCACUGGGCCACCAACACAGCCUGAUCUCAGCUGGACCCCUCCCUCAACACUGCCCCCAGACAGCUCCUAUCAGCUGGGGCCUUCAAGGGAGCCUUGUGGUCCUGGCCUGAGUUCCCGCAUUGUUGCAACACACUCCUAGUGAGAAAAUGCUCUAAACAAUGGACGCAACCCUUGGUUCUUCUGUGGACCUAGGUUAGGGGCUAGGUUCCACAGUGGCUACAACAGCCUGCAUACCUACCAACAGUGCAGGAGGGUUCUGCUCUAAGCAGAGCUUUACCUACCAGCAAUUUCCUAAGGAGGAAAUGGAAAGCUGAUUCACCCAGAUUUAGGCGAGCAGCUACAGAAAUUCACCCUAGAGUUCCUAAAGCCAAACUCCUUAAAGCCACCAGCAUGCCUCUAACCUGGAGUAUUCCCAAAGACUCUCCUUCUGACUUCACCACAAAUGAUACUGCAGAGAAAAUAUGGCAUGUCCAACUAUCUAGAUGAUCCAUUAAGUGAAACUAGAAAGUCAUGCUUCACUUGUAAAUCCUCAAAGCCUCCUUGGGAUCAUUUUGAAUUUUCCCUCUACCCUCACUGUAACUCUUUGGCUGAAAUGAUGAAUCAGUUAGGAUACAUCACCUUUGACAAAGGACAAGACAUCAUCCAAGUCUCUAUCUGACCACAAACAGCCACCUAACUCUAGAUGCUGGCCACUCCACCACAGCCUAGGCCCAAUGGAAUAAACACUGUUAGAUGAA